UUUUUUGAACAUAGUGAACUAUUUUAACAAUUGUCUUACCAGUUACAAAACUGUAGUUACUCCACCUGACCAAUAGGUGCUGCUGUGGAGUUGCAUUAGGGAGGCAACGGUCCUGAGUUUGCGCAGAAAUAAAUAUGUGCUCAGACCGAAUGCACUAAAAGUUGCGCUGCGUCUCUUUUCCUUCCACAGGAAUCCCAAGGGGGAUUGGUGCGAUUGAGAUUGACUGCACUCACAUCCCCAUUAGAGUGCACCUGGGAGAACAUGAGUGGGAUUAUGUGAAGAGGAAGUAAUUUCACAGGCACAGCCAGAAGGGGACUGACCAACCCUCAGAGUCUGCAUCCCUAAUCCACACUGCACAUAAACUUCAUGAAGUUCAUGCUUGCUCUUUCGGGAUUCUGGCUGGGUAUCUAUAGAAGCACUUUCUGAUGACUUUCAGAUCACAUUCUGAUGACUGGACAUUCACCUGCAGAAUUCUCUGGAGAAUAGAAUUCAUGGUUCCUUAAAUGAUGGCAAGUCUUCCAGGCACUGAGGCAGCAAAGCAUCCCCAUAUCGUCACAGUACCACCACAAUGUUUGACUGUUGGGAUAAUGUACUUAAUGUGAAAUGCUGUGUUUGUUUUACGCCAGACAUAACAGGACCUAUGUCUUCCAAAAUGUUACUUUUUUAACUUGUCUGUACACAGACAUUAUCCCAAACAGUUUGGGGGUCAUCAUUGUGCUUUUUUUAAAUGUGAGAUCAGCACUACCAUUUCUCUUAGCUGCGGUUUGCGCCUUGCAAUUCUCACAUUAAUUAGAUUUUUUCUCUGUAUUUUUU